rnacentral:rRNA from 1 species
AAACAUCUUCUCUUGUUUUAUAUAAGAGGUUUGGCCUGCCCAAUGAUAUUUUAAUGGCCGCGGUAUUUUGACCGUGCAAAGGUAGCAUAAUCAUUAGUUUAUUAAUUGUGAACUUGUAUGAAUGGUUUCACGAAAUAUUAACUGUCUCAUUUUUAUUGUUUGAAUUUAAUUUUUAAGUCAAAAAGCUUAGAUUUUGUUGUUGGACGAGAAGACCCUAUAGAUCUUUAUUUAUUUUUUUAUUUAUAUUUUUAUAUUAUUUCUUAUAAAUAAUUAUGUAUAUUUGGUUGGGGUGACAAUUAGAUAUGAUUAACUCUUUAUUAAAAUUACAUUGAUUUUUGUAUAAUUGACCUUGUAUUAUUGUUUAGAGAUAUAGAUACCUUAGGGAUAACAGCGUAAUUUUCUUUGAGAGUUCAUAUCGACAAGAAAGAUUGCGACCUCGAUGUUGGAUUAAGAUUAAUUUUGGUGUAGAAGUUAAAAUUUUAGGUCUGUUCGACCUUUAAAAUCUUACAUGAUCUGA